CCCUUAGAUGUUCUGGGCCGCACGCGCGCUACACUGAUGCAUUCAACGAGUUUCUUCCUGGUCCGAGAGGAAUGGGUAACCUUUUGAAAGUGCAUCGUGAUAGGGAUAGACUAUUGCAAUUAUUGGUCUUCAACGAGGAAUUCAUAGUAGACGUAGUUCAUCAGACUGCAUCGAUUACGUCCCUGCCCUUUGUACACACCGCCCGUCGCUCCUACCGAUUGAAUGCUCAGGUGAGCCAUUCGGACUUUCAUCAUGCUGGUUUCCAGUUUUGAUGAAGGAAAGUCUUGCGAACCUUAUCAUUUAGAGGAAGGAGAAGUCGUAACA
rnacentral:rRNA from 1 species